CACAAACUCUACCGUCACCACUGCUACUUACAACCACCCUCACCCUGUCGCCACCCCCACAACAACACCAUCACCAACGCCGCGACACCACCACCAACAAAAUUGUCGACACCACCAAACACACCAAAAAGAACCACCUCGCCUUUUGAACCACACAUCACCGCCUGAACCAAACCACCAACAAGAACUACCACCGUGUCCUUCACCACACCACCACAACCUCCAAUAAAACACCGACCAAAAAAUGUCGACCACUACAGCUACUGGACCGCACCACACCUCCACACAACCAAGACGAACGGGAAAAUCGACCACCACCACACAACUAACAACACGAACGACAGUGCACAACUCACCACCACACAACCAAGACGAAUGAGAAAAUCAACCACCAUCGCACAACCAACAACACAAACGGCAGUGCACCACCACACAACCAAGACGAACAGCUCCCACAGCCAGCACAUCAGAAAACUACCACCCGCAGAUCAGAAUAUUCACCCUAGGUAUCUUCUACGCCCUACACAGCCUCGCCAAAAGGGCCCUAAAUAAGCUUCGCUCCAAGGCUUGCCCUAACACCCAGAUCCACCGCCACUUCAUUUAGCUUCAGGGGGCUCUUUUCUAUUACGAACCUGAUUGCUCAAAAUAAAUCCAUAGCAUUCAACCUCUCUAAAUUCGUCGCCAACGAGGCUGAGUGAUGCUAUUGCUUCCCAUCAUCAUCGACGGUGGCAACGGAAACUCCGGUGGAGAUUUGAUAGAGAGAGAGAGAGAGAAUGUAAGGAAAAAAAAUGAUUAAGGUUGUGUUUCGGCUGGGUCGAGUGGGUAAAUAAUGAAAACCUGACUUUUGCUUAAAUAAAUUACCCACUUGAAUUUUGAAUUAGAAUAUUUAAA
rnacentral:lncRNA from 1 species